GAUGAACGCUGGCGGCGUGCUUAACACAUGCAAGUCGAACGAUGAAGCUCAGCUUGCUGGGUGGAUUAGUGGCGAACGGGUGAGUAACACGUGAGUAACCUGCCCUUAACUCUGGGAUAAGCCUGGGAAACUAGGUCUAAUACCGGAUAGGAGCGCCUACCGCAUGGUGGGUGUUGGAAAGAUUUAUCGGUUUUGGAUGGACUCGCGGCCUAUCAGCUCGUUGGUGAGGUAAUGGCUCACCAAGGCGACGACGGGUAGCCGGCCUGAGAGGGUGACCGGCCACACUGGGACUGAGACACAGCCCAGACUCCUACGGGAGGCAGCAGUGGGGAAUAUUGCACAAUGGGCGAAAGCCUGAUGCAGCGACGCCGCGUGAGGGAUGACGGCCUUCGGGUUGUAAACCUCUUUCAGUAGGGAAGAAGCGAAAGUGACGGUACCUGCAGAAGAAGCACCGGCUAACUACGUG
rnacentral:rRNA from 1 species